UUAAAUUGAAGAGUUUGAUCAUGGCUCAGAUUGAACGCUGGCGGCAGGCCUAACACAUGCAAGUCGAACGGUAACAGGAAGCAGCUUGCUGCUUUGCUGACGAGUGGCGGACGGGUGAGUAAUGUCUGGGAAACUGCCUGAUGGAGGGGGAUAACUACUGGAAACGGUGGCUAAUACCGCAUAACGUCGCAAGACCAAAGAGGGGGACCUUCGGGCCUCUUGCCAUCAGAUGUGCCCAGAUGGGAUUAGCUUGUUGGUGAGGUAACGGCUCACCAAGGCGACGAUCCCUAGCUGGUCUGAGAGGAUGACCAGCCACACUGGAACUGAGACACGGUCCAGACUCCUACGGGAGGCAGCAGUGGGGAAUAUUGCACAAUGGGCGCAAGCCUGAUGCAGCCAUGCCGCGUGUAUGAAGAAGGCCUUCGGGUUGUAAAGUACUUUCAGCGGGGAGGAAGGUGUUGUGGUUAAUAACCACAGCAAUUGACGUUACCCGCAGAAGAAGCACCGGCUAACUCCGUGCCAGCAGCCGCGGUAAUACGGAGGGUGCAAGCGUUAAUCGGAAUUACUGGGCGUAAAGCGCACGCAGGCGGUCUGUCAAGUCGGAUGUGAAAUCCCCGGGCUCAACCUGGGAACUGCAUUCGAAACUGGCAGGCUUGAGUCUUGUAGAGGGGGGUAGAAUUCCAGGUGUAGCGGUGAAAUGCGUAGAGAUCUGGAGGAAUACCGGUGGCGAAGGCGGCCCCCUGGACAAAGACUGACGCUCAGGUGCGAAAGCGUGGGGAGCAAACAGGAUUAGAUACCCUGGUAGUCCACGCCGUAAACGAUGUCUACUUGGAGGUUGUGCCCUUGAGGCGUGGCUUCCGGAGCUAACGCGUUAAGUAGACCGCCUGGGGAGUACGGCCGCAAGGUUAAAACUCAAAUGAAUUGACGGGGGCCCGCACAAGCGGUGGAGCAUGUGGUUUAAUUCGAUGCAACGCGAAGAACCUUACCUGGUCUUGACAUCCACAGAACUUUCCAGAGAUGGACUGGUGCCUUCGGGAACUGUGAGACAGGUGCUGCAUGGCUGUCGUCAGCUCGUGUUGUGAAAUGUUGGGUUAAGUCCCGCAACGAGCGCAACCCUUAUCCUUUGUUGCCAGCGGUCCGGCCGGGAACUCAAAGGAGACUGCCAGUGAUAAACUGGAGGAAGGUGGGGAUGACGUCAAGUCAUCAUGGCCCUUACGACCAGGGCUACACACGUGCUACAAUGGCGCAUACAAAGAGAAGCGACCUCGCGAGAGCAAGCGGACCUCAUAAAGUGCGUCGUAGUCCGGAUUGGAGUCUGCAACUCGACUCCAUGAAGUCGGAAUCGCUAGUAAUCGUGGAUCAGAAUGCCACGGUGAAUACGUUCCCGGGCCUUGUACACACCGCCCGUCACACCAUGGGAGUGGGUUGCAAAAGAAGUAGGUAGCUUAACCUUCGGGAGGGCGCUUACCACUUUGUGAUUCAUGACUGGGGUGAAGUCGUAACAAGGUAACCGUAGGGGAACCUGCGGUUGGAUCACCUCCUUACCUUAAAGAAGC
rnacentral:rRNA from 4 species